ensembl:lncRNA
GGUUUACUACUGACCCACGGGGCAGCCCCAGUGAUGAGGAAGCAUCGCCAAGUGAGGCCUCUGGGGCUCAGGACCUGGCCCGUCAAGUCAUUCCUUAGGCUGAGAAUUCAAACACAGAGAAUCGGAUGGGAAGCCUAAGCCCAACCUCCGGGCCUGGCGGCGGCGCCGCGGGCCCCGCCUGUCUGGUUCCCUCCGUCUGAAGUAUCCCGUUCGCCCAGGUUCUCUCUUGCUGCAGAGGCGGUGUCGGGUCCUACCUGGCAAAGCGGCCCGGAGCUCGCGGUCGGUGGGUCUUACUCCUAGAAGCGAGCUCGCGACCACCGAGCUGCGAACCAAGCACCCGGGCCCAGCGGGGGAAGCCGGCGGCGGGGGCCGUGAGGCCGGCACCGUCCUCGCGCCGGAGCCGCCGCCGGGCGGGCCUGGCCUUCCUCCCGCGCCUCCGGGCCGAGGGGCGGCGACGGCGGGGCCGCCCUCGCGUCCAGCGGCGCCCUGCAGCCCUGGCCUGCUUUCCCGGCCCCACAGCCGGGCUCCGCUCAGCGCCCUCCCAGGAAAGACGCGGCUCCUCUACUCUGCCACCAGCAGCGGCGCCGCCGGGCUUGUCGAACGCAGCCCUGAGGCCUGUGCUUCUUCCCACGCUGGCUAGCUUAACGGUUUGAAGGGAAUCCCUCUCUCCUGGUCUCCCACCCCGUCUUUCAGUGUUCUUAUUUCCCGGUAAGCAUGUUGGGUAAACAUCGCUUCAACUCCUUCACCGAGUGCUCAGUGGAAAGGCGAUCUCACACCCCAGCUCUCACAGUGUGAGGUCUGUGCUCCGAGUCUCGGCGCUGGGUCACCGGAGCAGUCAGUUCAGACAUUCCCAGGCCGCCGCGUCCGCUCCCACCGUGGAGGGAGAGGCGGCGGGUUGCGGAGGGAAAGGCCCCGGGAGGCGGUGUUCGGAAGCAAGCAGGCGGCUUCGGGACCGCGUGGCUGGCCCUUGCCCGGCACCAGAGUCAGCUCCCUGAGACCUGCUUUCACCGCGGAGCCCUCGGGUAACGACUUCCCCAUCUUUCUCCAACCAGCGGCUUGGGAUCUGUCUCCACACUCCUUGGCGGGACUCGUUUUCUUUCAGAGAGGAGGACUCACCUCUGUUUUGUCUCCAACUCCCUCUGGCGUCGACCCUGCCCCUCAGAGUCCUGCUCGCCUUCCUGCCCCGCUCAGAGCCCAGCUCUGUGAAUCUGUCACUCGAGCACGGGCGGGGGCCUGGGGGUCAGCAGUGAGCAGGACAGGAGACCUCUUGCCCGCCUUAGAUUCCAGAUUAUUCUGGAUGCAUGGGGGCGUGAACUUGGACCCCCACUUCCUGCACCCAAACUCUGACCUUGAUCAGCGAGGCGCCCCUCUGGGCUUGGCCCCUCCCUCCUCACUCCAAGGGCACGCCCUUUAUCUGGUCUUCCUAAUUAGCAGCCGGGAGUGGCCCAGGGCUGCGCUCAGAAAGCAGCAGGGGUCACGGAGCUGGAUCUGUUUCUGGAAGGCUCAGCCUCAAGCCCAUCAGACUUUGCUUGGAAGACACAACCAUUCCUUCCAGACUGAGUGGAGAUGAAGGGGGCUGAGGGCUCAGGGCUGUGCAAACCUUCUGUGGUGAACUUGGGGGUGAAGGAAGGGCAGGGCCACCAGCCAAUGGCAAACCCAGAGGGAUGCUCCGAAAGCGCGGUUUGCACGGGAGCUCAGACUGCAUCCAGAGUCAGGGCUCGUGUCCAGUGAGAAGCCACCGAAGCUGAGACUUUGGCCUCCCUCUUGCAUGGCCCCUUCUAAGGGCCCGGGGAG